rnacentral:rRNA from 1 species
CUACGUGCCAGCAGCCGCGGUAAUACGUAGGGCGCAAGCGUUGUCCGGAAUUAUUGGGCGUAAAGAGCUCGUAGGCGGCUGGUCGCGUCUGUCGUGAAAACUUCCGGCUCAACCGGGGGCUUGCGGUGGGUACGGGCCGGCUAGAGUGCGGUAGGGGUAACUGGAACUCCUGGUGUAGCGGUGGAAUGCGCAGAUAUCAGGAAGAACACCGAUGGCGAAGGCAGGUUACUGGGCCGUUACUGACGCUGAGGAGCGAAAGCGUGGGGAGCGAACAGGAUUAGAUACCCUGGUAGUCCACGCCGUAAACGAUGGGUACUAGGUGUAGGAGGUAUCGACCCCUUCUGUGCCGGAGUUAACGCAAUAAGUACCCCGCCUGGGGAGUACGACCGCAAGGUUGAAACUCAAAGGAAUUGACGGGGGCCCGCACAAGCGGUGGAGUAUGUGGUUUAAUUCGACGCAACGCGAAGAACCUUACCAGGUCUUGACAUUGAUGGACAGAACUAGAGAUAG